GGUGAUAUGGAUCAAUUGGUAGAGUGCCAGCCUAGCAAGCUUGAAGUCCUGCGUUCAAAUUCCAGUACCACCA
rnacentral:tRNA from 1 species